ensembl:lncRNA
ACUACAACCUAAAACUUCUUACCUAGGAAUAUUGAAGACUCCUGUUAAAAGGAACCACCAGCUUUCAUAUGUUCUGAGCAAGGAACUUAAACAUUAGCUUUUUUACAUGGCACAUAUUGCACUUCUCCAACACUUUGGUUUUGCAUUAUUUAAACCAAAUUGAACAUGUUUCAUUAUUUGAGGAUACAUUGAUUUUAUUGAUGUAUUAUAUUAAGUAACAUAAGUGUUCAUUCAGUAUUGUAAUUGUCAUUAUUACAUAUAUGAAAUCAUCCGAUUAAUUGGUAUCUGCUUUUUUUGGUCCUCCAAUCAGUAUCAGCAUUAAAAUCAUAAUCGGUCGACCUCUAGUGGACACACCUACUCAUUCCAGGGUUUUUCUUCAUUUCAUGGUAGAAUAAUAGUGAAGACUAUGACAUGACACAUGGAAUCAUGUAACCAAAAAAGUGUAUUACAAAUCAAAAUAUAGUUUGCCUUUGCCUUGACAGAUUAGCGCACUUGGCAUUCUCUCAACCAGCUUCAUGAGGUAGUCCCCUGGAAUGAAUUUCAAUUAACAGGUUUGCCUGAAGUACAUUUUUAUGGAAUUUCUUUAAAUGCGUUUGAGCCAGUCACUUGUGUUGUGACAAGGUAGCCCUAUUUGGUAAAAUACCUUAUGGCAAUAAAAGUUCAAAUAAGCAAAGAGAAAGGAGUCCAUUAUUUUAAGACAUGAGUCAGUCAAUCUGGAAAAUGUAAAUAAUUUUAACGUUUCUAGAAGUGCAGUAGCAAAAACCAUGAAGCGCUAUGAAACUGGCUCUCAUGAGGACCGCCACAGAAAAUGAAGACCUAGAGUUACCUCUAAUGCAGAGGAUAAGUUCAUUAGAGUUGCGAGCCUCAAAUUGCAGCCCAAAUAAAUGCUACACAGAGUUCAAGUAACAAACACAUCUCAAAAUCAACUGUUCAGAGGAGACUGCGUGAAUCAGGCCUUCAUGGUCGAAUUGCUACAAAGAAACCACCACUAAAGGACAAUCAGACUUGUGCCAAAAAAACACGAGCAAUGGACAUUAGACCAGUGGAAAUCUGUCCUUUGGUUGAGACCAAAUAUGAGAUUUUUGGUUCCAACCACCGUGUCUUUCUGAGACAGUGUAUGUGAACGGAUGAGCUCUGCAUGUGUGGUUCCAACGGUGAAGCAUGUGUGUUGGAGGAGGUGUGAUGGUUUGGGGGUGCUUUGCUGGUGACACUUUCAGUGACUUAUUUAGAAUUCAAGGCACACUUAACCAGCAUGGCUUCUGCAGCGAUAUGCCAUCCCAUCUGGUUUGCGCUUAGUGGGACUAUCAUUUGUUUUUCAACAGGACAUUGACCCAACACAUCUCCAGGCUGUGUCAGGGCUUUUUGACCAAGGAGAGUGAUGGAGUGCUACAUCAGAUUCUGGCCACCACAAUCACCCAACUCAACCCACUUGAGAUUUGUUAGGGAAGAGUUAGACUGCAGAGUGAAGGAAAAGCAGCCAACAAGUGCUAAGCAUAUGUAGGAACUCCUUCCAGACUAUUGGAAAAGCAUUCCACGUGAAGCUGGUUCAGAGUGCCAAGCGUGUGCAAAGCUGUCAAGGCAAAGGGUGGCUACUCUGAAGAAUCUAAAAUAUGAAAUAUAUUGUGAUUUGUUUCAUACUUUUUUUGGUUACUACAUGAUUCCAUGUGUUAUUUCAUAUUUUUGAUGUCUUCACUAUUAUUCUACAAUGGAAAAACCCUUGAAUGAGUAGGUGUGUCCUAACCUUUAACUGGUACUGUACAUGUCAACAGACCGUGCAAGUACAUGGAUUCCUGGGCUUUAUCUCUAUACUCUGACCUGAGAAGACCAUUCAGAAAAGGGAGCAAUGAAAUGCCAUAAAAGUAUUUGAAGGUUUGCUUUUCCCUGCCCUGUACAGAAGCAGAUGGCAGUGUACCAAAAGCCUCCAUACACCCUAAUAAAAAAAACUUAAUAUAAAAAAAAAACUCAUAUUCCUUGAUGGAUACUUUUAAAUGCUUGUUCACAUACCAAUGUAAAAGGGAUGAGAAAAGUAUUUCACAACAUUGAGAGAGUCUGUACAGCCAGGUUCCAAACCACUUGACCUGUUCUAGACAUUCAUUAUAUCUGACCCAGAUCUCCAGGAUCAGGCCAGGUAGAAACAGAGGAAGAGUGGUGUUGUCAUCUCUGGGCUCUCUCUCCAGUCUCUGGGUCGACACCACUGUCCAGCUC